GUCACUUUGUUAAAGCAUACUUUAAUGUAAUUAUUUUAAGUUAUUGCUUUUACUGUUUUAAUAAUAAGAAAAGUGGGGAGCUAAUUUAAUUAUCUCUGACUCCUUUCACAACAUUUUUUUUCCACAGGAACAUGAGAGAAACUGCGGAUGCCAUGCGUUCUGGAGCCAUUACAUUCCAGGAUGUAGGAAGCAUAAAUGUCUUUUUCUCCCAUUGGAUACAGAGGCAGCAUGAAGGAAGAAUUUAUGCCAAUGAAUUGAUUGACCAACAAGUGAAAAUGAAUUGAAGUAAGAUUUGUUGCUCCACGAAUGGUGUCGUUUUCCCUGGACUUGAUUCUUCAGUUGCUGUUCCCAUCUUCACCUUUUAACGUAAUUCGUUAUUUGAACUCCACUGCAACAUCAAUCAUCUGCAAUGGUAUCUACAUUUCACACCUCUAAACCUCGGAAUGUUAGAUUCUGCAAUUAAUUAAGAUCGACGGUGGAGAAGACAAAGAAGAUCCCAU